rnacentral:rRNA from 1 species
AAAAAAAUCUAGGCAAAAAAAAAAGCCUAAUCAUUAAAAAAGUUUUGGUCAUGGAACCCGAAAUUCAGUGAUCUAACCAUGAGCAAGUUGAAGGAGCUGUAAAAGGUUUCUGGAGGACCUAAGCCGUUCCUGUGGCAAUAGGAUGGUGUGACUUGUGGUUAGGAGUGAAAGGCUAAUCAAACUAGAUUAUAGCUGGUUUUUGGCGAAAAGGAUUUAUGUCCUGCGUAUAGAAUGUGGUUUAAGCGUUAGGGCUAUUCAUGACUUUUGCCAAAGGCAAUAUUUAUUUAUGAAAACUGUUAAUACUUAAACACUCUCCUAUAUAGUUAGACUUUGAGCUAUAAGGUCCAAAGUCGAAAGGGAAACAGCCCAGCUCUAUAGCUAAGGUCUCAAAGCACAAACUAAUUGGAAUAUUCGGUAUAAGCGCCUUGACAAUCAGGAUUUUGGCUUGGAAGCAGCCACUUUUUAAAGAUAGCGUAGUAGCUCACUGAUAGAGCGCUUAUGCGAUAAAUAUAAACGAGGCUAAAGUUUGUCACCGAUGCUUAGAUU